rnacentral:rRNA from 1 species
CACGAAGUUAGCCGGGGCUUCUUCUCCGGGUACCGUCAUUAUCGUCCCCGGUGAAAGAAUUUUACAAUCCUAAGACCUUCAUCAUUCACGCGGCAUGGCUGCGUCAGGCUUUCGCCCAUUGCGCAAGAUUCCCCACUGCUGCCUCCCGUAGGAGUCUGGGCCGUGUCUCAGUCCCAGUGUGGCUGAUCAUCCUCUCAGACCAGCUACUGAUCGUAGCCUUGGUGAGCCUUUACCUCACCAACUAGCUAAUCAGACGCGGGCCGCUCCAAUGGCGAUAAAUCUUUCCCCCGAAGGGCACAUACGGUAUUAGCUCAAGUUUCCCUGAGUUGUUCCGUACCAAAGGGCACGUUCCCACGUGUUACUCACCCGUCCGCCACUAACCCCGAAGGGUCCGUUCGACUUGCAUGUGUUAGGCCUGCCGCCAGCGUUCGCUCUGAGCCAGGAUCAAACUCU